UACAGAGGGUGCUAGCGUUAAUCGGAUUUACUGGGCGUAAAGCGUGCGCAGGCGGUUGUGCAAGACAGAUGUGAAAUCCCCGGGCUCAACCUGGGAACUGCAUUUGUGACUGCACGGCUAGAGUGUGUCAGAGGGGGGUAGAAUUCCACGUGUAGCAGUGAAAUGCGUAGAUAUGUGGAGGAAUACCGAUGGCGAAGGCAGCCCCCUGGGAUAACACUGACGCUCAUGCACGAAAGCGUGGGGAGCAAACAGG
rnacentral:rRNA from 1 species